UACGUAUGGUGCAAGCGUUAUCCGGAUUUACUGGGUGUAAAGGGAGCGCAGGCGGAAGGCUAAGUCUGAUGUGAAAGCCCGGGGCUCAACCCCGGUACUGCAUUGGAAACUGGUCAUCUCGAGUGUCGGAGGGGUAAGUGGAAUUCCUAGUGUAGCGGUGAAAUGCGUAGAUAUUAGGAGGAACACCAGUGGCGAAGGCGGCUUACUGGACGAUAACUGACGCUGAGGCUCGAAAGCGUGGGGAGCAAACAGG
rnacentral:rRNA from 1 species